UCCUUUUGUCUAGUGGUUAGGAUUUUCGGCUCGUAACCCAAAGGUCCUCAGUUCUAUCCUCCCGCCGCCAAAGUGGAA
rnacentral:tRNA from 13 species